rnacentral:rRNA from 1 species
AGCGCAGACGGUUGAUUAAGUCUGAUGUGAAAGCCCGGAGCUCAACUCCGGAAUGGCAUUGGAAACUGGUUAACUUGAGUGUUGUAGAGGUAAGUGGAACUCCAUGUGUAGCGGUGGAAUGCGUAGAUAUAUGGAGGAACACCGGUGGCGAAAGCGGCUCUCUGGUCUGUAACUGACACUGAGGCUCGAAAGCGUGGGAGCAAACA